rnacentral:lncRNA from 1 species
GUUGAUGUAAUUAGUUCAGUAUACUUCGUGAUAAUGAAUGUACAACGCGUAUUAAGUAAAUAAUAACUUUAUUGAUGAAUGAAAAGAAAAAUUUAAUUAAAAAUUGUUUUUAAUACAAGACGUAUUAACGAAAAUAUAAAGAGUUAUUCCGCGUAAAUAAACAUCUAUCUAUUUAAUCGAAUUCCUUUCUAUCUCGGGGAUCAACGAACGGCUAAAAACAUCAGGUGGUGCGUGUAUUGUUGGAAUUGCACCUCUAAAUAACGUAAAUUCCGUUGGCAAUUAUCGCCGCAAUGGAUUUGAUUGUGGGGAUUAAUUGAAAAGUCCAAUUCGCGCCGCCGCAUUGUUGUCUACCUCAGUUUUUCUGGGAAAAAAAUAUAAGCAUGUCUUGGACUUGGUUCUAUUUGGUUCGGUAGCUGUGGAAAUAAUUGCGAGAAUGCCACCAACUGACCUCCUGGUGGAAGAAAGAAAUGCACUGCACGAAAGAGGCAAAAAUUACAAGGUGCAAUGGCAUGGAUCUAAUAGCAUGGAUUAAUAAAGAGCGCUGACCAGAUAUGGUAUCUUUGGAAGAUACCUGAAGACUAUCGACAAGUUCCAUAUCGGAAGCUUGUUGAUUCUACUGGAAGCUCGAUACUGUUGAGCACACGUUGUUUGGAUGUGAGGAAUUUAAAGAUCUUAGACAGGAAUGCGGGAUGAGUUGAAGUCAGAAUCUAACUGGGAUGCUGUCAUGGAUAUGUUCAGACGUAUAAUGAAAUAUAAGGAACAGGUGGAAUUCCAAAUGGAAGCGAACGGCACAAGGAUUGGAGGGCGAAACCGUGGAAGGUGAUGAAGAGGAAUCGGAGAUAGCCCCCUCCCACCCAGGUUAGUCACUAAACAUAUGUUAAAAUUCUGAAAAUAUAGAGGGAACUUUUUAUUUGCUUGUUUUAUUGUCCUUGUCAUAUGGAGAGGGUGAUGUCAACGUCCCAGUAACGGGGUGAGAGGGCAGGAAGAGGAGUAAUGCUUAGAAAGAGGGGCUUUCUAUUGAACCCCAACCGCUCAACAUCCCGAUGAGCGUCAAAAAACUACGAGGGAGCAGUCAACAGAGCAGGUUUUGAGUUCUCUGAAGAUAUGCUAAUUUGAUGGUUCCGGAGAGGAAAUGAGGGGAGUUUUUAGUGGGAUAUUAAAAUUAAUACUCUCACACUUCCGGCCGAAGAAUCCUUUCCAUUAUCUACCAACGUCAGGCGCUAACAAUAAGAAGAAAAAAAGUUGGGUUGGGUUCUAGAUGUGUUUGGGUUGGGUUCUGGAUGGGUUUCGAGUUGGGUUGUUUUUCAUGUGUUGUUGAUGAACACAUGACACGAAAACUAAACAUCUCAUUAUUUUAUAACAGAAAUAAGACUUUGUAUUAAUUAAAGAAGAAGAAUAUAAUCAGAAAAAAAUUACUUCUUUACCUAUAUGUUUAAUGAAAAUUCUCUUUACGCAAUUAAAAUUACUCUAAACGGUUUAUGUUUAUGAUAUUGAGUAUUUCCGAACUGUUAUUAUAUUAUAUACUAAAUUUUUGGCGCGCCCUAUACCUACUGUCAUCGAUCUUACGAAUUUACUUAUUUCAUUGCAAAGAUUUAGUGUCACACUCCUUCUUCUGUGCAAUGUACUUUUAUGAUUUCUUUUACCGUUUGAUUAUGUUAUACUAAGUUGAAAAAUGUUAAUUUAAGACAGCAUUUACUUGAACCAGUUUAUUAACCUCAUCAUUUUACCGGAUUCUGUAAAUACAAUGUAACUGAUAGCAUUUGACCAUUUGUUAUAGAUUAAUAAUUACUUUUGUUUUUUUUUAAUUUAAACAACUAAAUUUGAAUUUCAAUAAAUACUGUAACUCAAUAAACCUUUUGCGGCAUUGGAAUAUUUUUGAAAUAAACGACCACAACAACAAUACUGGAUGGGAUUUAUAAACUAAUAUCGCUUUUAGAUGAGCGGAUCGAAAUACCUAUAUCCGGGAUUAUCGUUAUGACAUCAGUUUCUGUCACGUAAUCCAACUGGAACGAGAAAACCCUUGUGUUUUAUAUGCCCAGGCUUUAUUAAUCCGCCUCAGAUACAGUGUACCAAUAUUGAAAUCGAUUUCAAAUUUAAUAUCAUAAAAUACAAAAAGUAAAGCUCA